GGCCUUGUAGUGAAGUUCAUGUUGAGUUGCAAGCUCAUUGAUGUACGUUGAAAGCGUGCCGGGGCCU
rnacentral:tRNA from 1 species